rnacentral:rRNA from 1 species
UACAGAGGUCCCGAGCGUUGUUCGGAUUCACUGGGCGUAAAGGGUGCGUAGGUGGCGAGGAAAGUCGGAUGUGAAAGCUCGGAGCUCAACUCCGAAAUGGCAUUGGAAACUACCUUGCUCGAGGGUUGGAGGGGGGACUGGAAUUCUCGGUGUAGCAGUGAAAUGCGUAGAUAUCGAGAGGAACACCAGUGGCGAAGGCGGUUCUCUGGGACGGUACUGACGCUGAGACGCGAAAGCGUGGGGAGCGAACAGG